GACGGGGGGGGGGCAAGUGUUCUUCGGAAUGACUGGGCGUAAAGGGCACGUAGGCGGGGAAUCGGGUUGAACGUGAAAGUCGCCAAAAAGUGGCGGAAUGCUCUCGAGACCAAUUCACUUGAGUGAGACAGAGGAGAGUGGAAUUUCGUGUGUAGGGGUGAAAUCCGUAGAUCUACGAAGGAACGCCAAAAGCGAAGGCAGCUCUCUAGGUCCCUACCGACGCUGGGGUGCGAAAGCAUGGGGAGCGAACAGG
rnacentral:rRNA from 1 species